GAUGAACGCUGGCGGCGUGCCUAAUACAUGCAAGUCGAGCGAACGGACGAGAAGCUUGCUUUUCUGAUGUUAGCGGCGGACGGGUGAGUAACACGUGGAUAACCUACCUAUAAGACUGGGAUAACUUCGGGAAACCGGAGCUAAUACCGGAUAAUAUUUUGAACCGCAUGGUUCAAAAGUGAAAGACGGUCUUGCUGUCACUUAUAGAUGGAUCCGCGCUGCAUUAGCUAGUUGGUAAGGUAACGGCUUACCAAGGCAACGAUGCAUAGCCGACCUGAGAGGGGGAUCGGCCACACUGGAACUGAGACACGGUCCAGACUCCUACGGGAGGCAGCAGUAGGGAAUCUUACGCAAUGGGCGAAAGCCUGACGGAGCAACGCCGCGUGAGUGAUGAAGGUCUUCGGAUCGUAAAACUCUGUUAUUAGGGAAGAACAUAUGUGUAAGUAACUGUGCACAUCUUGACGGUACCUAAUCAGAAAGCCACGGCUAACUACGUG
rnacentral:rRNA from 1 species